GAUGAACGCUGGCUACAGGCUUAACACAUGCAAGUCGAGGGGUAACAAGAGGAAAGCUUGCUUUCCUUGUUGACGACCGGCGCACGGGUGAGUAACGCGUAUCCAACCUGCCUAUAACUAGGGAAUAACCUUGCGAAAGUAAGACUAAUACCCUAUGAUUUCCUUUGAUGACAUCAGAUUAGGAAUAAAGAUUUAUCGGUUAUAGAUGGGGAUGCGUCUGAUUAGCUUGUUGGCGGGGUAACGGCCCACCAAGGCAACGAUCAGUAGGGGUUCUGAGAGGAAGGUCCACCACAUUGGAACUGAGACACGGUCCAAACUCCUACGGGAGGCAGCAGUGAGGAGUAUUGGUCAAUGGGCGGAGGCCUGAACCAGCCAAGUAGCGUGCAGGAUGACGGCCCUAUGGGUUGUAAACUGCUUUUAUACAGGAAUAAAGUUAGCCACGUGUGGUUAUUUGUAGGUACUGUAUGAAUAAGGACCGGCUAAUUCCGUGCCAGCCGUCGCCGUAA
rnacentral:rRNA from 1 species